GGGGCCUUAGCUCAGUUGGUAGAGCGCCUGCUUUGCAAGCAGGAUGUCAUCGGUUCGAAUCCGAUAGGCUCCACCA
rnacentral:tRNA from 18 species